rnacentral:rRNA from 1 species
GACGAACGCUGGCGGCGUGCCUAAUACAUGCAAGUUGAGCGCUGAAGGUUGGUACUUGUACCGACUGGAUGAGCAGCGAACGGGUGAGUAACGCGUGGGGAAUCUGCCUUUGAGCGGGGGACAACAUUUGGAAACGAAUGCUAAUACCGCAUAAAAACUUUAAACACAAGUUUUAAGUUUGAAAGAUGCAAUUGCAUCACCCAAAGAUGAUCCCGCGUUGUAUUAGCUAGUUGGUGAGGUAAAGGCUCACCAAGGCGAUGAUACAUAGCCGACCUGAGAGGGUGAUCGGCCACAUUGGGACUGAGACACGGCCCAAACUCCUACGGGAGGCAGCAGUAGGGAAUCUUCGGCAAUGGACGAAAGUCUGACCGAGCAACGCCGCGUGAGUGAAGAAGGUUUUCGGAUCGUAAAACUCUGUUGGUAGAGAAGAACGUUGGUGAGAGUGGAAAGCUCAUCAAGUGACGGUAACUACCCAGAAAGGGACGGCUAACUACGUG